UACAGAGGUCCCAAGCGUUGUUCGGAUUCACUGGGCGUAAAGGGUGCGUAGGUGGUGAGGUAAGUCGGAUGUGAAAUCUCCAAGCUCAACUUGGAAACUGCAUUGGAAACUACCUUGCUAGAGGAUUGGAGGGGGGAUUGGAAUACUUGGUGUAGCAGUGAAAUGCGUAGAUAUCAGGAGGAACACCGGUGGCGAAGGCGGGUCUCUGGGCAACAACUGACGCUGAGGAGCGAAAGCGUGGGGAGCAAACAGG
rnacentral:rRNA from 1 species